CUCCGGGUCGCAUUCGCCGCCGAGCGAGGAGGUCGCCGCGAACGCCACGCUGCACGCAAUGGCGCGCUGGCGGUGGCGGUCCUGCCCAAGGAGUGCAGCCGGAGCCCCGCGUCGUGCAUGGUCUCUCUGAAUCACCGGACGCUGAACGGGCGGAGCGGCUGCCUGCGCGUUCAUGGGGUUACAUUGCAUACCCGGCAAGCGGCCGUCCAUGGCGCCGCUGAUCCAGCAGUCGCAGCCGGCGUCUGUGCCAGGUAUACUACUUGAACUACUUGAACUACGGAGUACUUGAACAUGACCCCCCCUUCACAUUAUUUCUCUCAUUUUAGCUCGCCUAUUACGAAAAGCAUCACAAUAUUCACUUUCUGAACCCCGCUAGUUUACUUGCAGCUCGUGAUGGACACACUUGUUGCCUUCUUUGGCUCAACGUCGACGAGGAUCACAAGAGAUGGUAACUGGUAACCUCCCAAGGUACCUACCACCACCCUAGGUUGUCCAUACAGCUUAAAAUUAUAUACUCCGUAGUACAUUUUAUGCUACACUGUACACAAAAUGCUAGGCAUUGGAAAUGUCAUGUUCCAUCUUUUAGCUGCAAGAUAUCACACCCAUGGAACCUUUUUUAUACAUUCAUUAAGGCGCCUGCAGUUUCAUAGUAAUAUAUCUAGAUUGCCCAAGGCAACUGUAAACUAUAGUAUCUCAAAUUGAUGAGUCCAACUUGAUUGCGUUGCCCAAAUCUUUGUAUUAUGUUGCGCUGGGGCGAAGUUCUACAAGUGAAGCAUAGGCUCCACCAGCGAUGCCCAUCAGUGUUUCAUGCCUCCCUUUCUCCACAAUUGUGCCGUCCUUCAGGACUGCAAUUAUAUCAGCUCCUUGGAUCGUCGAGAGGCGGUGUGCCACGAUGACAGUUGUCCUGCCAACCAUCAUGCGAUCCAAUGCAUCUUGAACAAUGCACUCUGACUCGGCAUCUAACGCACUAGUUGCCUCAUCCAGAAGAAGUACCCUCGGGUCCUUGAGAAUAGCUCUGGCGAUAGCUAUACGCUGUUUUUGCCCGCCUGAUAGUUGGGUUCCUCUGUCUCCAACAUUCGUGUUGUAACCCUGUGGCAUGCUUGAUAUGAAUUCAUGGGCAUUGGCCGCUUUAGCAGCCACGACAAUCUCAUCCUCAGUUAUCUCUCCAUGCUUUCCAUAUGCUAUGUUGGCAUGUAUUGUGUCAUUGAAAAGUAGUGGUUCUUGGCUUACCAAUCCCAUCUGGUCCCUCAACCAACUGAGCUUUAAGGUUUUGAUGUCCACUCCAUCGAAUAAGAUUACACCAGAUUCAAGAUCAUAGAAACGCUCUAGUAAAGCAAUUGCUGUAGAUUUGCCGCUGCCACUUUCACCAACCAGUGCAACAGUCUGCAAUAAACAGGUUGCUAAGUAAGUCCUUGGAAACAACUACGGAAGCACAGCAGAUUGGACCCUCAGAAUAACUGAGAGAAGAUGAGAAAAUUAGGGUUCUGGUUUAAUUAAGACCUUUCCAGAAGGAAUGCUCAAGGUAAAGUCACUGAAUAUUUGAACAUCCGGACGGGAUGGGUAUUUGAAGCUGAUAUGCAUAAAAUCAAUGUCACCCUUAACAAGAUCCAUAGUUGAACCUUCAAUGCUGCUGGAGUCAAUUUGUGAUUUUCUAUCUAAGAUUGUGAAUAUGGAAGUUGCAGAAUCAUUUGCCUUGGUUGAACAGGAAGCCAUAGUACUAGUUUGUGUUGCUCCAAUCAUGGCCACAGCUAAAGCAAAGAAAGCCUGCAUUACAAUAUUUUGAAGCAGAUAUAAAGAUAGAAUGUUCAUGAAGAAUCUUUUGGUGUUGUUGAAAUGAUUCGUACUGAUUACCUUGUAGACGUUGCCAAAAUUGGAAUUGCCCUGACUAACAAACUUGGCACCAACAUAGUAACAAAGAGCACAGGUGGAAUACAGCACCAUAUAUGAGAAGCCAAAACCAAGGCCUCCAACUAUUCCAGUUCGAAUUCCCUGAUUCUUAGAAGCUCGACACUUUUUAAUGUAUUUUGUCAUCACUCUCUUCUCAGCACAAAAAGACGAUACUGUUCUGAUGUUACUAACUGCUUCAGUUGCAACCUGACUUGCUUCUUCAUACAUGGUCUAUGAUCACAUAUCAACCAUAAAAAACAUAAAUUACAAUUGGCACCCAUGUGCAUUAAAAGACAACACUGGUUACAGCAUUGUAGCAGAGGCACUGUUAAUGAAAUGUGCUAACUUAUCCACAUUUUUUCAGCAUGAGGUCCGUAUUCAGUAUACCUAUCGAGCUUUUGCGCUUUAGGAAGGACAAAAGAAAGCAAAACUAAUACUAAAUAAAAAGUUCAUAACAUAAAGCUAGUUCAUGGCUCACCUUAGUAUCUUGACUAAACCCUUGUAAGAACUUUACUUGAGCAUAACCCUCGAGACCUAUUAGAGGAAUCACAAUUAAGAUGACCAGUGAAAGCUUCCAGUCUGCGCUCAUUGCUAUUACUAUUCCACAAAGAAGCGUUGAAGUACAUUGGACCAUCAAGGCCAAGUUACCCCCAACAAGACGCCUCACAUUAAGGGCAUCAACACAUAGCCUUCCACCUAGUGCUCCACUGCAAGAGGUGAAAGAGACAGUUAGUAUCUUGACUGUUCCAUUUUCGUGAAUAGAUCAAGAUAGCUCACCUAUUAUUUGCAGGAUGAUCAAACCAAGCAGCCUCUUGGUACACUAUGUUUUGAAAUGUCAAAACACGUAUUCUUUCUAUAAGUUUCCCACCAGCUAUUGCAAAUAGAAAGCUAUUUGCUAGCUUUGAUAUCAUACUCAUCGCACCCAACCCAACACAGAGCAAUCCCCAAAAGGUAGAAUCUUUCUGUCGCUUGUCUGCUGGUAAUUCAUAAAAUGUUUUAGCACUGGUAGCCAUUACAUAACCAAUCAUUGGGUAGACAGUUCCGUCAAUUGCAGCCGCAAGAGAACCAAAUAUAAGAAAUGCCAUUUCUGGUUUGUUUAGGCUAAUUAGGCGGCCCAUCGGGCCCUUCUUGGAGACCUUGCCAUUAGUGUUAUCGCUAUCAGCACCAUCAUAAUCUUGUAAUCCAGUAGGCCCAUGCAAGCUGUCUGGAGGGCUUAAAGAAUGAUGACUGGUCCCAGCUGCACUUCUGCUAGUUGAUCGUUUGAGUGAUUGACUUCUUUUAGAUAAUGAACCUGGUAAUCCAGCAUCUAAGUGGUCGCCAGUGUCUUGGUGUGCCUCUUGUAGCCGAAUAAGCUGAGAGUAUGCCCCACUAGGAUCCUUUACCAAUUUAUCAUGAUGUCCUAAAUGAACCACUUCAGUUUUAUUACUCUAUUUUGGCACAAACACAACGGAAAGAUCGAGCAGGGAGACACUAACCUUGUUCGAUUAGUUUUCCUUCAGAAACAACUGAGAUGCAGUGAGCAUUCCUAACUGUGCUCAAACGGUGCGCCACGAUAACCGUGGUCCUCCCAACCAUGAUCUUGUUUAGCGCUUCUUGGAGUACUCUCUCAGACUCUGAAUCCAAAGCACUAGUUGCUUCAUCGAGCAAAAGGAUUUUCGGAUCUUUUAGGAUUGCUCUUGCGACUGCGAUCCUUUGCUUCUGCCCCCCCGAAAGCUGAGCACCAUGUUCUCCAACUGCUGUGUCAUAACCCUGAAAUCAUAUGAAGGAGUCAUUAGGUUUAUGUUUGUAUAUGCAUGAUGGGUUAUUAUUGAACAGAUUGUGUUUAAUUUAAGUACAUUAGGCAAAUUCUCAAUGAAUCUUGCCGCGUUGGCAAGCUCAGCUGCUCUCUUGAUUUCUUCAAGUGUUGCAUCCUCUUUUCCGUAGGUUAUGUUCUCCUUGAUAGAUGUCAUGAAUAGCAUUGGUUCCUGGUUAACAAGGCCAAUCUUCCCUCUAAUCCAGUCUAGUUUAAAACUCUUGAUGUUCAUUCCAUCAAUCAACACUUCGCCAGCCCGUGGAUCAUAAAAUCUCUCAACCAGAUUGAUCACAGUUGAUUUGCCACUCCCACUCUCACCAACUAUGGCCAUUGUUGUGCCAGUUGAAACAUGCAUUGAAAAUCCAGCGAAUAUUAGUUGCUCUGGCCUGCUUGGAUAGCUGAAAAACACAUCCCUCAGCUCUAUAUCACCCUUGAUGUCUUCUAACACAACACUGGUAGUAUCAUCAUAGUCGAUCUUUGGUUUCCUAUUGAUUGUUGUAAACAACCUGUACGCCGCAACUCUCCCUUCCUCAAAGGCAGCAAUGCAGGGGGUUGCAUCACCCAAUGAUCUACCCCCAGACAGUUGAAAAGUUGCAUGUUAGAGCAGACAUACUAUCUUAAUAUUGUAUUGGUGGAAGUAUUAUUACUUGUGUCAGAACUAGCUACUUGUAUUUAUUUAUUUUUUAAAGGAGAGAGGCAGAUAUUGGUGGCAACUCAAGAAUCUGUUACAAAUCACAAGAGUCACAAGACAUGACUACGUGGCUACACCUCUAUGUCCUACUAAAACUAACAAGGAUUAGCAAAUGUUUUAAAUUACUAUACAUGUCUAUCUAUUGGUUGAAUUUAAUUAGUAAGCUGUUUUUUUUUGCGUUAAUACUAACCUUGCUGCUAUCAUGACGCAGAACAAUAUACUCAUGAUAUCUGCUCCACUAUAUCCUCCGCUGAGGGUUAACUUACUUCCAUACCAUAGAAUUAAUCCAAUGCCUGAGAAAGUGGCGAAGGUAAGGAAACCCAUGCCAAAACCUUGGAUAGUCCCUUCCUUGACCGUACCCUUGUAUGCCUUCUUUAUGUAAUUGUUGUAUAAGGUCAUGGCUUUCUUUUCACCAUUGAAUGAAGCCACCUGUUAUAAUAUGAAUACAUGUUAGUUGAGAAUUUGUCAUUCUUGAUUGCAGCAUCGACACCGGGCGUACCGUUUUUAUGGAUCCAAUUGUCUGUUCAACAAUAUCCCCUGCAUCGCUAUAUGAUUCUAGGCCCUCGCUAGAUACUUUGGACAUCAUCUUCGAUACGAUUCCAGCAGCAAAGAUUAUUGGUGGUAUAGUAGAAAGCAUUACAAGAGUUAGGAGCCACCCUUUAAUGAACGCCACCACAAACCCACCAAGGAAAGUUGUAAAAAGAUGUAGAAACUUCCCGACCUAGAGAAAAGGAAUGGGAAAUGUAAAAGAAGGAAUAACAAACUGUUAAUGGUGAACUUUACCAGUCUUACUACUAGUAAAAUUAUCGUCAAGUUCAUUUUCUCUCAGAGAUGGUUCACCAAACUCCAAAGCAGGAAAGGAUAAAGAUGAAGAGCUAUACUCUAAUGAUAGAAGUUGAAAGUUGAGACACCACUGGAAUAGUAGCUACGCAAUAUAUUUAUCUUUUCUGUCGCAGGUAAAGCAAAAGAAAGGCUCCAGGGUUUGUACCUUCUCUCCCAUAGCCUCCUGAAUAACUAUUGUGUCAGCACAUAUCCCAGAGACUACUUGUCCACCUUUUGUUUCCGUGUCAAAGAAUUCCAUGUCUUGUGUCAGGACCGACUCGAGAUACAAUGAUCGGAUGCGAUUUGCCUGCCUCUCCCCAGUCACCGUCCAACAUGAUAUCUCUGGUAAGCAUAGAUAUUAUGGUUAAGAAUGAUUUUAGUGACAUUCUAGAUUUUGAUCGAUGCAGCAAAAGCAUCAAUGAGCGAUUUGAUAUUGAGUACGAGCCUGUGCUAUUCACGUGUAUUAUCAUGCUCAAAUAGAUGCUGUUCCAAGGUACUGAUAUGAUCAAAGACAAUAGUGAUCGAGUUCAACUAUCGUCAAAUAUACUCAUAUACCCUCUUAUAUUUACAUGGUCAAGUAUGACAUUAAUUUACAACACAAUACAUAACUAUUAUACCAUGGUACUAUCUGGAACGUUUUUUGUUCUUGAGCAUCAUCCCCUGGGUAGCAGGUGGCCAGGAGAGGUGUUGCUUGACGAGGGCUAGUAGCAUUUGAUAGGAUCUAGUUGUAUCUUGCUUCUAGGAAGUAUAUAAAUAAUGCGAAAACUCAUGCAAAUUAAGGUACCAUAAUAGCAUGUGUACUGGUCAUGCUUCAAUGAGAAUAACCAUGCAAAAGAUACCAUAAAUGGCAUCUCUUCCAAUCAUACUUACGGAGGAAACAAGCGGGCAAUGUCCCAAUCCCUAAGUAGACGAACUCUAGGACCACCUGAAAGAAAUAUGCCAGCUAGAUAUAAAAUCUGUUAUUGCUUUUGAUAUUUUCAAAUAAAACAAAAACUUUCGAUGCAUAUGCUUAUUAUGAAUCAAGAAUCUCUUAGCAUUCCGUCAAAAGAAGAAUCUCUUAGCAGCUUAAUGCAUGCUAAUGCCAAACUUCAUUGUGUCCUUGUAGUCUUGCAGAAGCAAAAGGGGUUACCCUGUUGACUCUGGGAAGGACAGUGCUGGGGGUGGCGCCCCCAAAGGCGUCGACCAUCCGGCCAAAGACGAUUGUCAUGACCACCUGCGACAUGCCGGCAGCGAUCGCUCCGACGGUGCCGACAAGCAUCAGCACCACGUCCAUGGCGUCUGCGUUCUUGAACAGGUCAUGUAACGGCACCUUGCCAACUUUGGCCAGCUUCUUCUCGGUGCCAUUCUCCUUCUCUUGAUAUCCACCCUUCACAGCUGUUGCCGUGAUUGUUUCUCCCAUGCUAUGGCCACCAGGUUGUACUAGACUAGCUGAGUAGCUGUACUAUGGCUUUGGCUGCUACGUGUGUAAAGUAGCCGUAGCUUUUAUAGUGCCGAUGUCAUACGUUUUUCUUUGAAGGAGCCGAUGUCGUACGUUUCUAUUUGAAGGAGCCGAUGCCGUGCUUGUUAGUUAGCAGGUAUCCGUCUUGGUAGUUAGCAGGCAAUGUAGUCAAUCUUGUUAAUUAGUACUCCCUUCGUUGCUAAAUACAAAAUGAUUUACUCGCCUUACUUCUGUUCUAAGUCAGAGUUAAAGUUUGUGCAAAUUUAUAGAAAAAUCUACUAACAUCUACUCCGUACAACUCUAAAUUAGUUUUGUUAACUUCAUCGUAAUAUAUAUCUUCAUAGUAUAUCUAUUUAUUUGAUGUUGUCGUGUCAGUAUAUUUUUCUAUAAACUUAGUCAACCUUAUAUUUAGAAAUAGACACAGUAGCUGGUAACAGCAUUCGGAAGAGUAACCAUAACUUUUCUCGAGUAACAAGAGUAGCCACUGAUCAUUGAUGGAGUAACAAAAAGAAAAUGACCCAUAUGGUGACAGCCUAGAGGAUAGAACAUGCAUGUAUCGCAGCCCCACGGUCGAAUUAUGCAUGGCACUGACAGCAACUAGAAGCUGAAAUACUGUUGACCGUGAUUGAAAGGGCGCGAUGAUAAAUACUUGCGUGGGCAGCCCAACAACCGAAAUCCAUGAUGAUGGGCAGCUUGAAUAUGUGAUCUCUUCUUGCUCUUGCCAUUGCUUGACAGUAUACUGAAGUUGAAUUCUGCUGCUGAAUUUAAUACGACCUGUGCUGUUUUUGGCUUUUGCAGGUGUCUCCGUCAGAAGACUUCUCUCCGAUAAAGGAAGUAUUUAUCGACUCGCAAUGAUAGAACCAAAUUGGGCACCCCAACAACCGAAUUCAUGACGAGGGCAAUAUUGAACCAGC
rnacentral:lncRNA from 1 species